rnacentral:rRNA from 2 species
GGCGGCGUACCUAAUACAUGCAAGUCGAGCGAACUGAUUAGAAGCUUGCUUCUAUGACGUUAGCGGCGGACGGGUGAGUAACACGUGGGCAACCUGCCUGUAAGACUGGGAUAACUUCGGGAAACCGAAGCUAAUACCGGAUAGGAUCUUCUCCUUCAUGGGAGAUGAUUGAAAGAUGGUUUCGGCUAUCACUUACAGAUGGGCCCGCGGUGCAUUAGCUAGUUGGUGAGGUAACGGCUCACCAAGGCAACGAUGCAUAGCCGACCUGAGAGGGUGAUCGGCCACACUGGGACUGAGACACGGCCCAGACUCCUACGGGAGGCAGCAGUAGGGAAUCUUCCGCAAUGGACGAAAGUCUGACGGAGCAACGCCGCGUGAGUGAUGAAGGCUUUCGGGUCGUAAAACUCUGUUGUUAGGGAAGAACAAGUACAAGAGUAACUGCUCGUACCUUGACGGUACCUAACCAGAAAGCCACGGCUAACUACGUGCCAGCAGCCGCGGUAAUACGUAGGUGGCAAGCGUUAUCCGGAAUUAUUGGGCGUAAAGCGCGCGCAGGCGGUUUCUUAAGUCUGAUGUGAAAGCCCACGGCUCAACCGUGGAGGGUCAUUGGAAACUGGGGAACUUGAGUGCAGAAGAGAAAAGCGGAAUUCCACGUGUAGCGGUGAAAUGCGUAGAGAUGUGGAGGAACACCAGUGGCGAAGGCGGCUUUUUGGUCUGUAACUGACGCUGAGGCGCG